GGUGGUGAGGACCUGAGAAACGCCGAUGCCAGACAGGAUGCACAUGACGGGAGCCAAGACUAACAUGAGACGCACCUGAGCAGAACAGAUAAAACUAGGCACAGGAAGGUGCUGUACCUGGAAACAUGAAGACCAGAAGCUGCAGGUCAAAGUAGUAGGAGGACCAGGUGGUGGGCUGGUGCUCAGACACAGAGGCGAUGAUGGGGAUGUUGUUCUUGGCGUAGGAUGGAUCCAGCAGAGAGUAAAAACGGCCAGUCCAAGGUGAGAUUUUCCCUAGCAUAACCCAAUACAAAAACAAACUAUUUAGGAACAAUACAAAAAAAUAUAUAUUUAAAUGGCCAUAAAUAAAUACUUACAUAUUAUAUAUUUAUAUUAAAAAGAAAUAAAUAUUUAACGGGGAGAGUCUCUUCUAACCUGUCAGCAUGAGCACUCCACCUGCAGAGAGCAGGAUGAUACCGACCAGCGAAAUGACGCUCUUGAACAACACUUCAAACUGCUGCGUGUUCAGUUUGCUCCGCAGGUAAUCGACAAAGGCGUGAAUCUGACACAGGCCAAACACCCCGAAUGCAGCCAUGUGUUCAGAGGACUGGACAGGCUGGAGGAAAAGAGAGAAAGACAGAGAUUAUUGAUCUAUUUUUAAGAUUAUAUGAUAGUAAUUUUUCCAUUUUUGGUAGGUGACGUUCAGCUCCUCACCUGGAAUCCAACAAAAGAGAUCUGCAUGGAGAGGACGGUGCCCAGGCAGUAGACUGUGCAGUACGCCACAUAGAUGCGAUGAGUGAAACGUCCGGUGAGCAUCAACACCAGCACGUGGAGGGGAAUGAGGUUAAUCAGAAACACAUAACCACCCCAGGAGGACACCUG